rnacentral:rRNA from 1 species
UACGUAGGGUGCAAGCGUUGUCCGGAAUUAUUGGGCGUAAAGAGCUCGUAGGUGGCGUGUCGCGUCUGCCGUGAAAGCCCAUGGCUUAACUGUGGGUCUGCGGUGGAUACGGGCAGGCUGGAGGCUGGUAGGGGCAAGCGGAAUUCCAGGUGUAGCGGUGAAAUGCGUAGAUAUCUGGAGGAACACCGGUGGCGAAGGCGGCAUCCUGGACCAACACUGACGCUGAGGAGCGAAAGCCAGGGGAGCAAACGGG